rnacentral:rRNA from 1 species
AACGCUAGCGGCAGGCUUAACACAUGCAAGUCGAGGGGCAGCAUGACACGGAGAUUCGUCAAAGUGUUGAUGGCGACCGGCGCAAGGGUGCGUAACGCGUGAGCAACUUGCCCGUUUCUGGGGAAUAACCGGUGGAAACGCCGACUAAUACCCCAUGGCAUCAGAUUGAGGCAUCUUAAUCUGAUUAAAGAAUUUCGGAAACGGAUAGGCUCGCGUGACAUUAGCUAGAUGGCGGGGUAACGGCCCACCAUGGCGACGAUGUCUAGGGGUUCUGAGAGGAAGGUCCCCCACACUGGAACUGAGACACGGUCCAGACUCCUACGGGAGGCAGCAGUGAGGAAUAUUGGUCAAUGGAAGGAAUUCUGAUCCAGCCAUGCCGCGUGAAGGAUUACAGCCCUAUGGGUUUUAAACUUCUUUUGUAUGUGAGCAAUAAGUCUUACGUGUAGGACGAUGAGAGUAGCAUACGAAUAAGCAUCGGCUAACUCCGUG